rnacentral:precursor_RNA from 9 species
UUCUCUGGUCCUUAGUUUCGCUGCGCGGUGCGUAGUUUCAUAUGGGUAUGCUCCGUUGUGUAUUUUCGAAGCACCAUGUGAAGCUGCUAUCCGAACGGCGAUAUGAUUAUCUCAGUUCCC